rnacentral:rRNA from 1 species
AGUGGCGCACGGGUGAGUAACACGUGAAUGAUCUACCUCCGAGUGGGGAAUAACUGAGAGAAAUCUUAGCUAAUACCGCAUAACACUUACGAGUCAAAGCAGCAAUGCGCUUGGAGAGGAGUUCGCGGCCGAUUAGUUAGUUGGCGGGGUAAUGGCCCACCAAGACGAUGAUCGGUAUCCGGCCUGAGAGGGCGCACGGACACACUGGAACUGAGACACGGUCCAGACUCCUACGGGAGGCAGCAGUGGGGAAUUUUUCGCAAUGGGGGCAACCCUGACGAAGCAACGCCGCGUGGGUGAUGAAGUCUCUUGGGACGUAAAACCCUUUCGACGGGGAAGAAACCGCAAGGUUGACGGUACCCGUAGAAGAAGCCCCGGCUAACUCCGUGCCAGCAGCCGCGGUAAUACGGGGGGGGCAAGCGUUGUUCGGAAUUACUGGGCGUAAAGGGUGCGUAGGCGGUUCGUCAAGUUAGAUGUGAAAACUCUGGGCUCAACCCAGAGCCUGCAUCUAAAACUGGCGGGCUAGAGUUCUGGAGGGGGUAGCGGAAUUCCUGGUGUAGCGGUGAAAUGCGUAGAUAUCAGGAGGAACACCGGUGGCGAAGGCGGCUACCUGGACAGAAACUGACGCUGAGGCACGAAAGCUAGGGGAGCAAACAGGGUUAGAUACCCUGGUAGUCCUAGCCCUAAACGAUGGAUACUUGGUGUGACCGGGAUUGAAUCCGGUCGUGCCGAAGCUAACGCAUUAAGUAU